AAAGCCCACGCUCUCCCCCGUGAGAGGGUUUUUGGAAUCUGGGACAUUUGUGUGCAAAAGAAGAAAGUGGAUUUCCCUGUGUAGCGGAGAAAUGCGUAGAUAUAUGGAAGAACACCUGUGGCAAAGGCGUACUUUCUGGUCUGUAACUGACUCUGAGGCGCGAAAGCGUGGGGAGCAAACAGGAUUAAAUACCCUGGUACUCCACGCCGUAAACGAUGAGUGCUUAGUGUUAGAGGGUUUCCCCCCUUUACUGCUGAAGUUAACGCAUUAAGCACUCCGCCUGGGGAGUACCGCCGCAAGGAUGAAACUCAAAGGAAUUGACGGGGGCCCGCACAAGCGGUGGAGCAUGUGGUUUAAUUCGAAGCACACGCGAACAAACCUACCCGGUCUUGACAUCCUCGGAGAACCCUAGAGAUAGGGCUUCUCCUUCGGGAGCAGAGAGACAGGUGGUGCAUGGUUGUCCUCAGCUCGUGUCGUGAGAUGUUGGGUUAAGUCCCGCAACGAGCGCAACCCUUGAUCUUAGUUGCCAUCAUUAAGUUGGGCACUCUAAGGUGACUGCCGGUGACAAACCGGAGGAAGGUGGGGAUGACGUCAAAUCAUCAUGCCCCCUUAUGACCUGGGCUACACACGUGCUACAAUGGA
rnacentral:rRNA from 1 species